GAUGAACGCUGGCGGCGUGCCUAAUACAUGCAAGUCGAGCGAACAGACGAGGAGCUUGCUCCUCUGACGUUAGCGGCGGACGGGUGAGUAACACGUGGAUAACCUACCUAUAAGACUGGGAUAACUUCGGGAAACCGGAGCUAAUACCGGAUAAUAUAUUGAACCGCAUGGUUCAAUAGUGAAAGACGGUUUUGCUGUCACUUAUAGAUGGAUCCGCGCCGCAUUAGCUAGUUGGUAAGGUAACGGCUUACCAAGGCAACGAUGCGUAGCCGACCUGAGAGGGUGAUCGGCCACACUGGAACUGAGACACGGUCCAGACUCCUACGGGAGGCAGCAAUAGGGAAUCUUCCGCAAUGGGCGAAAGCCUGACGGAGCAACGCCGCGUGAGUGAUGAAGGUCUUCGGAUCGUAAAACUCUGUUAUUAGGGAAGAACAAAUGUGCAAGUAACUAUGCACGUCUUGACGGUACCUAAUCAGAAAGCCACGGCUAACUACGUG
rnacentral:rRNA from 1 species